CGUGAUCGUCUUUGUCCGGGGCACAAUAUCUCUGCGACUGAAGACUGAGACACGGCGUGUAUUUCCUGGGAAGGACUUUUGACGCUGGUGGAGUACUGGUUUCAGGCAGUAUAAUUGCUGCAGUUACACGAGAAAUGCUGAAAACGCGUUCAGAGCUUCAUGUUCAAAAACAAAGUUGCUGGAAAAGCUCAGAUAUUAAUUAAAAAUAAUUUGCAGACCAGGAUCACAAAGCAAGUUCUCCAUUAAGCGGAGUGAUCAGGAUGACCUUUCGUGAUCUAAUCCAGUAAGAGUGUGAGCUGCUACAAUGCACGUGCUAGUAAAAGUGGGAAUAAGAGGACAGAUGAGAUGGCUGCUUGGCUGGAGCUAUAACUUGAUGCCUCAGGAAUCUAAACCUUUUGAGACUGUUUGUUUGUUGGUUACUGGGUAAGGUAGGACAUGCACAAGCUUGACCAGUAGUCCUGGGCAGAGCUGGGACAGAUAUUCUUGAUGCUUUUGCUUGUUCCACUGGUGAGGAUUUAAACUCGUAUGACAAGGGAAUGGGAACCAAAGUAUAGCUUUAGCAGUAAAAGACUCAGAUCAGCAAAUGGGACGUGAAAUUAGUUCAUGAUGUUGUCGGUGGCUGAAAGAUUAAAAGAAAGAAGGAUUAAUCAAGAUCAAAUCUCUUUUCAUACAUCAGUCCUGUGAUCCCAGGAAUUGGUCUGGUGAACCGUCUUUAUGAUCAUUCAGUAGCCAAAGCAUCCCUCCUUUGGAAAGGAGAACAAAGGUGCACUCUACUCCAGGUGUGGUCUCACCAAGGCCCUUAGAGAAAGACAUCCCUCUUCCUGUACUCGAAUCCUCUCACAAUGAAGGCCGAAAUAUCAUUUGCAUUCUUCACUACUUGCUGCUGCCAGUUUCCUAAAAGAGAACAGGAGAGAAACACGGAACAAAAUGGGGUCAGACACUGGGGUAACAUUGUUGAACACACUGUCCCGACUGUAUCGGUGCUGGCCAUCAAGCACCUAUUGAAGCUAGGCCCGUUUUCUGGCACUCGGUGUGUAACCUAUAUUAUGGUGCAAUGGAUGAUCAUCUCAACACUUCUUCAAGAUUGCAAUGGUUCCUGCAUCUAUCACCAUUUCAGAUGCUGCCAGAUCUGCUGUGUAUCUCCAUCUUUUUCUGUUUUUAUUUCAGAUUUCAGGUAUUUUGCUGCGUCUUAGUCCUUCAGAAGGAUCAGAGGGUAUGGGGAGAAAACAGGAAUUGGAUUCAUUUUCAGAUGUAUAAAAUGCCUGUCCUGCAUGUCUGUCCAAACUAUCUCUUUUUGUAGUUUUGGGCAAACACUGACAGUUUCCCUUCCCUGAAGGACAUUUAAUGAACCAAUUCAGUUUUACUGAUAAUCCAGCUGUGGCCCUCAGUGUUGGAUCCACAAUUGACCAGAUUAAUUUCUGAGUUUCACAAUCUUUGUGUGUGUGUUCUUCUUCUGGUUUCUCUCUCUCUACUUUUCUGUUUGAAAUUUUGAUUGCAUUCAGAGAAAUCGAACAAAACCACAUCCAGAUCUGACACUGCAAUCUGUUGUCAUAACCUAAUUAUCUCAAGAUUUUGAACAUUGAAGGAAGAAGCACUGUUCACACC